ACAAUACUACCGCGAUCAUAAAGCAAAAAGAGAAAAUGUUAUGGAAAUAUGGAGAAUAAAUGAAGUUUAUUAAGAGACAGAAGGGAGAAGGAGAUGUGAGGUAGUUCAUAGAAUACAUUUGUUGCCAGGGCAACUCAAGUGCUUGACUGAAAUGGGAAGUUCUUUCACCACUGGGGUCCUGCAACAUUCAUGAGAUCUUAAAGAUGUUGGUCAACAUGAAGAAUAAUGCGUCAACACCACUAAAGAUCCAAGGUGAAGCCCUGCUGCUCUCUCACUGAGCCACAGGUAGGCUCUGAAAGACUGGAGGAGAUUCUGAGUGCUUUUCUAUGUUUCCCCUCUCUGCCUCCUCUCCUCUAUCAGAUGGAGAGAUUGAGGUGAAGAAAUAAUUGAGAGGGGGGAACAACACAGAGAAAAGACAAAGAAUCUGUGGGAUUUCCUCAGGGCUGAAGGAUCAAGACCAGGCCAGAGAAUUAUUUAUGAGCCCUAAACAGGCUUCCAUACAACACUGUGUGCUUAACCCUUCACUACACUAACUUUGAUGUUCCAAGCUCAAGGCCAUCCCUCGACUCUAGUCACUACUCCUGUCUGUCUAUA